CUCACCCUGCUCUGUGUCUAGAAGAGAGCUGAACACGCAGUAGAACACAAUAAAUUAUAUUCAAAUGGCAGUCAAGGAGGAAACUUUUCUUCCUCAUCAACAAAGCUGAUCGAUGGGGGCUGAAGCCCCAGGGAAGAAGCAUCUGUUGUAACUCAAGGAUCCCGGCUUGAGCUGAGGAUGGAAUUAACAGGCACAGAGUGGUUGGCAGCCCAACGUUUGUGCAAGUCUGGCACAUGCACACAUCAUUAGCAACUAUGCUGGAGAAGAAUGAUCAAGGAGGUGAGGAGGAGAAUGGAUCUGAUUAAAGGGAUGUUCAAGAAAGGAAAUUCCAAGCACUUGGGUAAAAGCUUCAUAGCUAAAAUGAAUGAACUCAUGAGCAAAGCAAACAGCCAGGUACAUUUGGGAGAUGCUGACAGACAAUCUGGAUAAUUUUGCCUCUGAAACUUUCAAAACACAGUCAUUUCAUGCAGUGAA
rnacentral:lncRNA from 1 species